GGGCAAGGCCGUGGUCUAAUUUGCGNGGAACCGCAAGUCACAGAGGGUGAGAAUCCCGUCUAGGAUCGCGGGCCGCCGUCCAUGUGAAGCUCCCUUCGACGAGUCGAGUUGUUUUGGGAAUGCAGCUCCUAAAUGGGUGGUAAAUUUCAUCUAAAGCUAAAUAUUGGCCAGAGACCGAUAGCGCACAAGUAGAGUGAUCGAAAGAUGAAAAGCACUUUGAAAAGAGGAGUUAAAACAGUAUGUGAAAAUUGUUGAAAGGGAAGNGCUUGCAAUCAGACUUGCGGGGUGACCGCUCCCCCGCCCCUUCGGGGGUGGCUACUCCGUCACUUCCAGGCCAGCAUCGGUUCGGGUGGUCGGUCAAAGAUCCCGGGAAUGUAUCUANCCUCCGGGGUCGACUUAUAGCCCGGGGUGCAAUGCGGCCCACCCGGACCGAGGAACGCGCUUCGGCUCGGAUGCUGGCGUAAUGGUUGUAAGCGGCC
rnacentral:rRNA from 1 species